rnacentral:rRNA from 1 species
GCUGAAAGCAUCUAAGUGGGAAGCCCACCUCAAGAUGAGUGCUCUCAUGGGUUAACCCAGUAAGGUCACGGGCAGAACACCCGUUGAUAGGCUCUAGAUGGAAGUGUAGUAAUACAUGUAGUCAAGGAGUACUAAUAGACCGAGGGCUUGACCU